rnacentral:pre_miRNA from 1 species
AAAAUGGUAAACUAUAGGUUUACGUGCCCAACUUCGUCUUAUAUGAAAUUUUUUUUAUUUUUUUUAUAAUUCGUUCGUAUUUUCAUUGUUGUUAGAUGAUAAAACAUGAUUAAUAUUUUAUGCGCGACUUGUCUUUUUAAUUUUUUUCAUAAUUUUUUCAAAUAAGACGAACGGUCAAACGUUGGUCACGGAAACCAGGGUUUGUCUUUUU